UCGUAACAAGGUCUCCGUUGGUGAACCAGCGGAGGGAUCAUUACCGAGUUUACAACUCCCAAACCCAAUGUGAACCAUACCAAACUGUUGCCUCGGCGGGGUCACGCCCCGGGUGCGUCGCAGCCCCGGAACCAGGCGCCCGCCGGAGGGACCAACCAAACUCUUUCUGUAGUCCCCUCGCGGACGUUAUUUUUACAGCUCUGAGCAAAAAUUCAAAAUGAAUCAAAACUUUCAACAACGGAUCUCUUGGUUCUGGCAUCGAUGAAGAACGCAGCGAAAUGCGAUAAGUAAUGUGAAUUGCAGAAUUCAGUGAAUCAUCGAAUCUUUGAACGCACAUUGCGCCCGCCAGUAUUCUGGCGGGCAUGCCUGUCCGAGCGUCAUUUCAACCCUCGAACCCCUCCGGGGGUCCGGCGUUGGGGAUCGGGAACCCCUAAGACGGGAUCCCGGCCCCGAAAUACAGUGGCGGUCUCGCCGCAGCCUCUCAUGCGCAGUAGUUUGCACAACUCGCACCGGGAGCGCGGCGCGUCCACGUCCGUAAAACACCCAACUUCUGAAAUGUUGACCUCGGAUCAGGUAGGAAUACCCGCUGAACCUAAGCAUAUC
rnacentral:misc_RNA from 1 species